rnacentral:rRNA from 1 species
GAUGAACGCUGGCGGCGUGCCUAAUACAUGCAAGUCGAGCGAACAGACGAGGAGCUUGCUCCUCUGACGUUAGCGGCGGACGGGUGAGUAACACGUGGAUAACCUACUUAUAAGACUGGGAUAAUUUCGGGAAACCGGAGCUAAUACCGGAUAAUAUAUUGAACCGCAUGGUUCAAUAGUGAAAGACGGUUUUGCUGUCACUUAUAGAUGGAUCCGCGCCGCAUUAGCUAGUUGGUAAGGUAACGGCUUACCAAGGCAACGAUGCGUAGCCGACCUGAGAGGGUGAUCAGCCACACUGGAACUGAGACACGGUCCAGACUCCUACGGGAGGCAGCAGUAGGGAAUCUUCCACAAUGGGCGAAAGCCUGACGGAGCAACGCCGCGUGAGUGAUGAAGGUCUUCGGAUCGUAAAACUCUGUUAUUAGGGAAGAACAAAUGUGUAAGUAACUAUGCACGUCUUGACGGUACCUAAUCAGAAAGCCACGGCUAACUACGUG